AGUCAAAUCAGAAAUGUCAAUUUCUCUGUUGGAAUCAGAUGUUUCUUAACAGUUUAAUUCUGCAAUAUAGACAAAUGAUGGGUGAGGAACUUUCUGGUCUGAGCGUCAAAGAUUUGCAGAACUUGGAGAACCAACUGGAAACCAGUCUCCGUGGUGUUCGUGUAAGAAAGGUAUGAAAUUUCCAGAUCCAACAAAUGUUCACUAUAUGAAUUAAGUAAAACCUAACUCUAAACUCACGUGUCUACAGGACGAAAUUCUGAU
rnacentral:misc_RNA from 1 species